UACAGAGGUCUCAAGCGUUGUUCGGAUUCAUUGGGCGUAAAGGGUGCGUAGGCGGCGCGGUAAGUCGGGGUGUGAAAUCUCGGAGCUUAACUCCGAAACUGCAUUCGAUACUGCCGUGCUUGAGGACUGGAGAGGAGACUGGAAUUUACGGUGUAGCGGUGAAAUGCGUAGAUAUCGGGAGGAACAUCAGUGGCGAAGGCGGCCUUCUGGUCCAGUACUGACACUCAAGUGCGAAAGCGUGGGGAGCAAACAGG
rnacentral:rRNA from 1 species